rnacentral:rRNA from 1 species
UGCAGUCGACGGGGUCCAUGGAGCUUGCUCCGGAAGACCUAGUGGCGAACGGGUGCGUAACACGUGAGAAACCUGCCCUGGACUUGGGAAUAACAGUCGGAAACGACUGCUAAUACCGAAUACCUUCACACCGUCGCAUGGCGGAGUGAAGAAAGCUUUUGCGGUCUGGGAGGGUCUCGCGGCCUAUCAGCUAGUUGGUGAGGUAACGGCUCACCAAGGCAUCGACGGGUAGCUGGUCUGAGAGGAUGAUCAGCCACACUGGGACUGAGACACGGCCCAGACUCCUACGGGAGGCAGCAGUGGGGAAUAUUGCACAAUGGGCGCAAGCCUGAUGCAGCAACGCCGCGUGCGGGAUGAAGGCCCUAGGGUUGUAAACCGCUUUCAGCAGGGAAGAAAAUGACGGUACCUGCAGAAAGAAAGGUGCGGCCAACUACGUGCCAGCAGCCCGCGGUGACACGUAGGCACCAAGCGUUGUCCGGAUUUUAUUGGGCGUAAAGAGCUCGUAGGCGGUUCAGUUAGUCGGGGGUGAAACUUCUGGGCUCAACCCAAACCCCCCCCAUUCUGGCUGGACUAGAGUACGGAGGGAAUGGGGGAAUUCUGGGGGUAGCGUGAAUGGGAAAAUUCAGAAGGAACCCAGGGGGAAAGGCCCCUUUGGCCGUAUUAACUGAGGACGAAAGCUUGGGAGAAAC